GAGCGGUAACGCGGGAGCAAUCCUGGCGACGAGCGGCGAACGGGUGAGUAAUGCUUCGGAAUCUGCCCAGUAGUGGGGAAUAACCAGCCGAAAGGUUGGCUAAUGCCGCAUACGACCCCUCUUCAUACAGGGGAGGGUUGAAAGCGGGGGAUCGUAAGACCUCGCGCUAUUGGAUGAGCCGAAGUCGGAUUAGCUAGUUGGUAGGGUAACGGCCUACCAAGGCGACAAUCCGUAGCUGGUCUGAGAGGACGACCAGCCACACUGGGACUGAGACACGGCCCAGACUCCUACGGGAGGCAGCAGUGGGGAAUAUUGGACAAUGGGGGCAACCCUGAUCCAGCGACGCCGCGUGUGUGAAGAAGGCCUGCGGGUUGUAAAGCACUUUUAGUGGGGAUGAAAAGCUCANGGGCUAAUAACUCUGGGUCUUGACCUAACCCACAGAAAAAGCACCGGCUAACUCUGUG
rnacentral:rRNA from 1 species